CCUGCGAUCUCACUGCCGUGAACCAGGAGGAAUCCGUCUGGACUCACUGUCGGAGAGAGGAGAACAGGCCCAUAUUGUGCUGCUGCUGCGAGAGCACAUGGGCCCUCGGCGGGGGCACCACCGUGACACAGCUGACGAUUCACAAGGAGGCUGGCCUCAGAGGAGCUCACCAGGGAAUCACUAAGGUUGACUGAUGAUGUUACACAUCAUACAGCGAGGAAGAAACUUCCCUUCCCUGGGGAGCCGCAGGGUAAAGAAAGCCACCUAAGGCAGUGGCGUUGCACGUGGUGGCUAAGGCUUUGCAGGCAAAGUGCGCCACCUUGAUGGAUAAGUGCAAAAAGCACAAAACUCAGCACAGGGCCGCGGAGAGAAAUCAGCUGAUGAGUGUUUCACUGUGGGAGUUCAACGUCUUUCUAACUAAGAACCAGAGGACGGGAUCGUAGCUGUGGCAGAGUCGGGCAGGACCGGGAGAGUGGGGCGAGACCUUGGAUCCUCUUCCAAUAACAAAGCAGCAGCUGAAAGAGCGGCAGGAGAAGAAUGAAAAAUGACAGAGCCAGCGCCCCUCGGGAGCAAGGGCAGGGGUGAGCUGCACAACAGAAGCAAUGUUAGGAACACAGAGCCGUAAGGCGGCCCUGAGCAAUCAGACAGUCACUUUGCUAUGGGGCCAUGGAAACUCUGCAAGCACAAAAUAAAGUUGCCCCUCAUGAGAAGAUUGAUGUAACUAAUAUAAUGUUAUAGCGAAGAAAAAUGGGAGUUAAACUCUGGGAGGAAUGUGCAUUUCCCCCGGGACUGUGCAAUGGAUAUGGAAAAGGGGUAAAAGAAAGGUGAACAAAACAUGCUAUUUAAUUCAACUCUUCUUUUUCCGGUGGCCGUGUGCUUCGGAAGCAGAAACCAACCCAGCACCAGAAAAGAUCCGUGCGUUUCAGAAAUGGCCCUUAACCGGUGUAAAUCUUUUCCAAACGUUAUGAUGAAGUGUGGUGUAAAGUAAAUGUUGUUAGGGAGUGAAACGCUACCUGGUGGUGUGGUGUAAAUGAAAAAGAGUAAUUGUAUUACAGCUAAGUAACUGAAUAAUAGAUUGAAAUGCCCUAGAUUGAAAACA